AGGCAGAGGAAACUGUUUGAGGUAAAGAAAACAAAAAACACAAAACCCAGCAUGGUGCGUACUGGAGAUGAGAAAAUGGAGGUACCAAAAAGUGGGCUCUGAACCGUGGAGCCUGGCUCCGGAGCCCUUGUAUUUGACUACUGGGAUCCACCGUUAUUCUCACAGCCACGUUUCCCACAGGGCUGCUUUGUAUGGCUUCUUAGAAAAGUCCUGCCUGUCUCCACCAUCCAGACUAUGAUGUCCGUGCGGUCGGAGGAAAGGGAGAAUGUCUCACAUACAGAAAAUGCUUGAUCAACAUUGACGGAAUGAUAAAUGGGCUUCAGCAGCACCUGUCCUGAGUCAGCACCUCACAGAGGUUUUGCCAGCGCCAGCCACAUCUCCAGCAUGAAGGUGAUUGUCUGUGUCCAGUCCAAUUCCUGCCUUAAUAAGAAUCACUGCUGCAAGGGAGAGGGCUGCCAAGGCCCUGCCUCCCUCCAACCCCA
rnacentral:lncRNA from 1 species